AACAUGGCGGCUACAAGGCGCCUGUCUUAGUCUGCGAAACCUACCCCGGGCGUGGGCCGCAGCGUCGAGUAACGUCAUUCGAACCCCGUCGCGCCCCUUUGUGCGUCACGGGUGGCGGGCGCGGGAAGGGGAUUUGGAUUGUUGCGCCUCUGCUCUGAAGAAAGUGCUGUCUGGCUCCAACUCCAGUUCUUGCCCCUGAGCAGCGCCUGGAACCUAACCCUUCCCACUCUGUCACCUUCUCGAUCCCGCCGGCGCUUUAGAGCCGCAGUCCAGCCUUGGAUCCUCAGAGCCUCAGCCACUAGCUGCGAUGCAUGUGAUCAAGCGAGGCUCAGAUCACCAUGAAAGUAAUCCAAGGCUUGUACAGUGGGGUCACCACAGUGGAACUAGAUACUUUGGCUGCUGAAACAGCUGCAACCUUGACUACUAAGCACCCUGACUAUGCUAUCCUGGCAGCCAGGAUCGCUGUCUCUAACUUGCACAAAGAAACAAAGAAAGUGUUCAGUGAUGUGAUGGAAGACCUCUAUAACUACAUAAAUCCACAUAAUGGCAA
rnacentral:sRNA from 1 species